rnacentral:lncRNA from 1 species
ACCUGUUACGUUCGAGCUCCACGAGAGUCAGCCGUGGCGAUGGUUACCCAUGAGCUUAUACACAAGUGCAAUCAGGAGCUGUUCCUCCACCAGGAUGAAUGAAAACAGGCUUUGGAGAACCAAAGCCUUGCUCUCAAGUCUACAGAGACCAACUGCUGAAGUACCAGACAUUAUAGGGAUGUGCUUCUCAAUUCACAUUUAGAUGCAUGUUUCAUGUGCUGUAUCAGGUCACGUGACUUCAGACCGAACUGCUGAUUUGGGAAAUCCUGAAGUUGACUACUUGUUAGGCUGCUCUUAGAAAUCCCACACAAAGGACAUCUGCAGCAGCAUCCCUCACAGAUCAACAUCACUGAAGGAGACCUCGUGGGAAGUCUGAAUGUUUUGGCAAGAUUAUUUGAAAAACUAAUAAAGUCCUUGUAAUCCCUUU